UAGGGGAUCUUCCACAAUGGACGCAAGUCUGAUGGAGCAACGCCGCGUGAGUGAAGAAGGGUUUCGGCUCGUAAAGCUCUGUUGUUAAAGAAGAACGUGGGUAAGAGUAACUGUUUACCCAGUGACGGUAUUUAACCAGAAAGCCACGGCUAACUACGUGCCAG
rnacentral:rRNA from 1 species